rnacentral:rRNA from 1 species
GACGAACGCUGGCGGCGUGCCUAAUACAUGCAAGUUGAGCGACGAAGCUUGGUGCUUGCACCAAUUUGAAGAGCAGCGAACGGGUGAGUAACGCGCGGGGAAUCUGCCUUUGAGCGGGGGACAACAUUUGGAAACGAAUGCUAAUACCGCAUAACAACUUUAAACAUAAGUUUUAAGUUUGAAAGAUGCAAUUGCAUCACUCAAAGAUGAUCCCGCGUUGUAUUAGCUAGUUGGUGAGGUAAAGGCUCACCAAGGCGAUGAUACAUAGCCGACCUGAGAGGGUGAUCGGCCACAUUGGGACUGAGACACGGCCCAAACUCCUACGGGAGGCAGCAGUAGGGAAUCUUCGGCAAUGGACGAAAGUCUGACCGAGCAACGCCGCGUGAGUGAAGAAGGUUUUCGGAUCGUAAAACUCUGUUGGUAGAGAAGAACGUUGGUGAGAGUGGAAAGCUCAUCAAGUGACGGUAACUACCCAGAAAGGGACGGCUAACUACGUG